UUUUUAAUUCGUAUUGUUAAAAAUCUUUUAAGAACUGCGGUGGAAUGGAGGACAGCAUCCACGAGUUUAGAUUGAUUGGACGCACUGUCAUCUUCUUGUGCUGUCCGAAGGGCUGAAGCUUCUUUCCUCUUUUUUUAAGUAAGAGGGAGCCGCUCUGCAACUUGGAUUUUCCAAUUUUGGAAAUUUUAGGGUUACUUUAAGCUCCGCACGCGGUUUCGGUCCUUGAGGAUAAGUCUUGCAAGGACUAUUGUUUUUGCGGUGGGUACUGUCGACUUGGAGCUGAAUUAUGCGUUAGUUGAAGAGGAAUCUCGCUUUUAUGCGGCUUCUGCAAGUUUUUUUGGUUCCUUCGUGCUGAUUAUUCCGUGUGAGCCCUAGAAAUAGUUUCGAUGACGGGUUGAUGCUAGCAAAAAACGAGUUGAGAAAGAGAUGAUUAACAGCUGCGGUUUUGAUUCAGUUCGAACUGAAUAAUGGUUCUGAUGGGGAAAUUACCGACCUCAUCCAACCAUGUUGAUCUGCUUUAUUAAUUUAGCUGAUUUGGACGUGGAAAGCCUUCUCCUUGGUUAACAUGGAAGGGAGCGCUGAACUUAACGAGUCUAUGGAAAACUCAGCCGAGACUCCUCAUCUUAAAAGAAAAGAAAAUGAUCAAUUGCACUCUCAAACGGAUUGCAUUGCAUUUCAAAUUCAAAACCCAGCUCCAGUUAUCUCAGAAGAAACUGGUUGGACUGAGCAUCUUUCAUCAUUGAGAUCACCUGAAAUGCUACUAGAGACUUUAGCAGGUAAAGGUUCACAUCAUGAUUUAGGACGACAUUGUGUUUCAGAACCUCCUGCAAGCUCUUGUCCUUCAAACUAUCCUGGAACAGUUAUGGAAAAGUUAACAUUGAGGAAUGUCAAUUCUCCCAAAGUAUUGUAUACUAGUGGUGUCCCUGGCUCUGUGGAAGAUUCUCCUAUUAGGAAAGGGCUGUGGCACAAUUUGACAAGAAUAGUGGGUGGAUCUAGAACAGAUUCAGUGCCCAAUGAAUUUUUGAGAGUUGGGGAUGGAGGAAAAGGUGUUGGAUCUUUUAUGCCUCAAUCUAUGGUGAAAAGGAAUCUUCAAUUCACACAGUUAAACUUAAAUCAUUUGAAAACCCCUAAUAAUGUAGUAGAAGGUGAUAGCAAGGAUUUUUCAAAGAGUGACAUUGCUCGUCAUCCUACUGUUAAUAGUACAAAAGUUUUAAGUGCAUCAGGAUUUAGACAAUUUUUAAUGAAGAGCACCUUGAAGGGUAAAGGCAUCGCAUAUAGCCAGCAAAGAACAGAUAAUGAUUCUGGACCUUUUACCCAAAGCCAAGAUAAUGUUGGUAUAGAUGAUCACAAGAUGAAAGCUUCUGAAUCAUCGCACAAACCAAUUGCAAAGGCAGAUGAAAUGGCCUUACUUGGUGGCAGUGUUGAGUGUGUUGAUUCAAAUGUCCAGCAUGAUGGGACUACUUUGAGGGAUUGGCUUAAACAAAACCAUCGUAUGUCUAGCAAAUUUGAGAGACUGCAGAUUUUUAAGCAGAUCUUGAAACUUGUUGAUGCUUCACACUCUCAAGGCCAUGCUUUACAGCAUUUAAAACCGUCACAUUUUGUAGUACCUUCGUCAGGAUUUGUUAAAUAUAUAGGCUCAAUAAAUGCUAAAGUGCAGGCAGGGAGUUGGUUGUUUUCAAUAAAUCAUCAAGAUAUUGGACUGGAGACACAUCUUAAAAGGAAGAGAUCCAUGGAAUAUGAUACAAAGUUGCAGGAUUCUUUAUCACAUAAACAAUUAAAACUAGGUUGUGAUCAGGAGUUGCAGGGAACUUUAUCACGAAAACAUCAGAGACUACGUGGAAAGAAUCAAACUGUUGUCCAGCUCCAAAAAUACCCCUCUAGAACUGCUGAUCUGCAGGGAAGUCUAGCUGAGGAAGUCUAUGAUGGUGAUAUCAGAACAGCAAGUUUUGAUGAAGAAUUCAGUGAACAAAUUCACUUGGUUGAUUUGUACAAGAGUUCUAAAAUCCCUGCACGUAAAAAUAUCUUUGACUUUAGUUUUCAAGAACCUGCAUCUGGAAUUUUGAGUCUGGAAGACAGAUGGUAUGCCAGCCCUGAGAAGCUGAAUGCAAAUUCUUGCCCUUUAUCUUCAAAUAUCUACAGUCUAGGCGUUUUGUUCUUUGAGCUAUUCUGCUCUUUUGAGACAGAAGAAGUGCAUCUUGCUGCAAUGUCUAAUCUCCGACACAGGAUUCUUCCUCCAAGCUUUUUAUCGGAGUGUCCCAAGGAAGCUGGUUUUUGUCUUUGGUUGCUUCAUCCUGAUCCUUCUGCCCGGCCAAAGUCAAGGGAAAUCUCGUCAAGCAACUUAAUAUUUGAAUGCAACAACGUUUCGGCUAUAGAUCAAUUAUCAGUAUCUAUAGAUGAAGAAGAUGCUGAAGCAUACCUCUUAUUACAGUUUCUUUCAUCUUUGAAGGACCAAAAUGAAAAUCAGGCUGCCAAGUUGGUGGCUGAUAUUCAUUGCUUAGAAACGGACAUUGCGGAGGUUGAGAGGCGGUAUUUAUCAGGAGUUGAGUCUAUUUCUAAUGCCAAUGGUUUGCCGGCUAGCUCUAGAGACAACUCAGAUGUGUCAAUUCAGAUUGGAACAAUGCUUUCAUGGUCUGUAUCAAAUGUAAACGAAGAAAGAUUGAUGAAGAAUAUUGAGCAGCUCAAACACGCAUACUUCUAUAUGAGAUCCAAUGUUAAACUUUCAGAAACUAAUGUUGCAACACGAUCUGAUAUAGGUGUCCUUAGGAUUCGUGAUAAUUUCUCUCAGUUCCAGGAUGCGGCUGGUAUAAAGGAGGAAUCUACCGACUGCCUUGGUUCUUUUUUUGAAGGUUUAUGCAAAUAUGCGCGAUACAGCAAAUUUGAAGUUCGGGGCAGCAUUAGAAAUGUGGAUAUCCUUAAUUCUGCAAAUGUCAUCUGCUCAUUGAGCUUUGACCGUGAUGAAGAAUACUUUGCUGCUGCUGGGGUUUCAAAGAAAAUUAAGAUCUUUGAAUUUGGGGCUCUUUUAAAUGAGGCUUUUGAUGUUCACUACCCAUUGAUUGAAAUGUCAAGUAGAUCAAAGCUCAGUUGUGUUAGUUGGAAUAAUUACAUCAAGAACUACUUAGCAUCAACCGAUUAUGAUGGUGUUGUACAGUUAUGGGAUGCAAACACUGGUCAAGGGUUUACACAGUAUGCAGAGCAUGAAAAGAGAGCUUGGUCUGUUGAUUUCUCUUCAGUGGAUCCAACUAAGCUGGCAAGUGGGAGUGAUGAUUGUUCCGUGAAGCUCUGGAGUAUUAAAGAGAGAAAUUGCAUUGCUACAAUUAGAAAUGUGGCUAAUGUGUGCUGUGUUCAAUUCUCGCCUCAUUCGUCUCAUUUAUUGACCUUUGGCUCUGCUGAUAACAAGAUAUUCUGUUAUGAUCUGCGGAACACUAGAGGUCCGUGGUGUACUUUAUCUGGACAUGGAAAGGCUGUGAGCUAUGUGAAAUUUGUGGACUCAGACACCCUUGUCUCUGCUUCAACUGAUAAUACGCUCAAGUUAUGGGAUCUUAACAAAUCCAGCACAAGUGGGCUGUCCAGUAAUGCUUGCAGCCUGACCUUUACCGGUCAUACCAAUGAGAAGAAUUUUGUAGGUUUAACAGUUUUAGAUGGAUUUAUAGCAUGCGGUUCAGAGACAAACGAAGUUUAUGCUUACCACAAAGCUCUUCCAAUGCCUAUUACUUCGCACAAGUUUGGCUCCAUUGAUCCAAUUACUGGACAAGAAACUGGCGAUGAUAAUGGACAGUUCGUAUCUAGUGUCUGCUGGAGGACCAAAUCAAACAUGAUAGUUGUUGCAAAUUCCAGUGGCAGCUUAAAGCUAUUACAGUUGGUUUAAUUGAAAGAAAAUAAAGCGAGUCGAGUAAUUUAACACCAGUUCUGACUGGAGGAAACAUUCCAAUAUUACCAUGUUCAAAGGUCACUUAACUCUCCUCCUAACUUCAUAUAUAUAUAUAAGAUUAUUAGUUUAUGACACGCUCCCAUAGUGAUGAAGAUCGAUUCUAUUGAUGAUAAUGGCAUUUUUCUACGUCAAGUUUUUGCCAUGUCAGGUUUAUCACUGAGAAAGAAUUAAAAGGCAUUUUACCUUUUGGAACUUGAAGAAACCAAUAUGAUGCAGAAACUUGUAUGUUGACAAGGGCUUGUAACUGUUAUCUGGUGAAGAUUAUGUCCAAAGUUGCAAUGAGAAGCCAACUAGCAGCUACAGCUUAUUUUCAUGGUAUCCUUUUGAUACGAUUGCAGAUAUCUGUAAAAAAUAUAUAGAAUUGUUAUGAUGGAAGUAAUUUUCUUAAAAUUAUUAUGAGUA